rnacentral:tRNA from 1 species
GGGCCGGUAGAUCAGCCCGGUUGUUUUAUCCAUUCGUAAUGGAAGAGGUCGCGUGUUCGAAUCACGCCCGGUCCACCA